GGGGAUUUAGCUCAGUGGUAGAGCACUUGUCUAUCAAGCGCAAGGCCCUGGGUUCGGUCCCCAGCUCCG
rnacentral:tRNA from 1 species